rnacentral:lncRNA from 1 species
UUUUUCCUUUGUAAAAGCUCUUUACACCUGCUAACUUUAUUUUUUAUACCAAGCGUGACUGCUAGUCUUGAUUCCUUCAUCUCCCAGUCUUUUUCAGCUAGUUUCCUGGCUCCAUCCCAUUGAAGGCACUCCAGUAGGCUGCCUCACACCUGCUCUGUUGUCGACCAAGAUGGCUUUGCUUCCUUGACAUUUCACACCUCGGUGCGCAAUCCUGAACCACCUCUAGCUUCAUACCUGUUCUCGGCUUCAGAGUGUGCUCAUAGUCUUGCUGGUGACCACAGUUCACACUCAUUUCCUGGUUUUUCUCACUGAUGCUCAAACCAGACUUUAAUCCCUUAUUCUCUUAAGGGUCAUUCUUUGUAUGCAUUCCAAACCUUUUACGUUUUUCUCAGGGCAAGGAUUCGAGAUGUGGUUUGUCUCAGUUUAGAACAUACCUUUCUGUUUUACCUCUCACUGUCAACCAAUCGUGUAUUUAUUCACACGUUUCAGCAGCCAUCUGCCUCACCUUGUAUUCAGCUACUGGUUUGGGGUCCCAAAGAACAAGAUUUUACAUCUGUUUAUAGUAAACUGUUGUGCUAGUCCAUUCAUAGCACUUUGACUCCUAUUUUGAUCAUCUAGUCUUAUCCCUGACCCUUCUCAAUUUAAUGCUGCCCAAGACAGUGAUUAGCUUUCUUUCUACUCCUUUAUGAAAGCCAGUUUCUCACCAAAACUGAAAG